UCACAAGUGAAAUAUUUCUUAAUUUUUUUCUUGAAUUCUCAUCUGAAAUGAAUUAAUUUGGAAUCACUAGAUUCUAGAAUCACUAGUUCUAGAGUCUAGAAUUACUAGACUCAAAAAGAAUUGGGCAGGUUUUAUUCCUUUUCCAUUUUGUGGAACUUACAGAAAACCUUUUUUUGAAUGUAUAGUCAAACUAUAAAAUUUAUAAUUCUGUUAAUUGUUUUUAUCCCUCUAAAGGGGAGGUCUUUGCCAUUUUAAUUCACUGAAUGUUCACUGGCCUAUUCAAAUUUUUUAUGUCAAUUUGGAUUUUUAUAUUUCUCUAUAAUUUUAUAUUUUCUCUGUAAUUUUAUAAGUUUUUCAUAGUUUCAUUUAUGUUCAGCUUUAUUAACAUAUCGUUCAUAAAUUUUUUUUCCUUCUUUCAUUCUGUAUUUGGUAUUCUUUGCCUUUUCUCUUUUUUCUUAUCCAUCUUAUCCAAGAAUCUUUUCAAAAAACCAUCAUUUGGUUUUGUCAGUCUUACUUUUCUCCUUAUUUCUGAUUUUGUUACUAUGUUUCUUGUUUUGUUUUUUUGAUUCAUUUUUAAAUUGAAUGAAUUGCUUUAUUCAUUCUUAAUCAUUCUUACUGCUGAAAAUGAUUUCAUGAAAAUGAAAGAUGACUUCAGAUCUAUUUUUCCCUUCAGCUCUUUAAUGGUGUCCCUAGAUUCAGACAUGAUUUUAUUAUCAUCAGUCUGUUUGGAGGUGUUUUCUCAUUUCCUUUUUUAACCCAAGUGUUAUCCACCCUCCCUUUCCUUGCCUAAAAUUUUGUCAGUUUUCAGGCUAUCUUUGAGGUAUACUAAAAUCCAUUUUCUUGAUUAAUUGCUCUAAUCAGUAUGCAGUCUCUCAGUCUUUUUUUUUUUCGGUAUUGAAUUCUGUCUUCUCAGAUACUAUAAAUAUUGAUCCCUUACCUUUCCCAUAAUUAACAUUUGCCUGAUAAUGUUUUCCCAUCAUUUUUGCUCUCUAUUGUUAGAUGUUUUAUAUAGAAUUCAUAGAAUCUUUUAAUUUUUUACUCUUUUGUUUAUAUCAGUAUAGACUCAUGGAUUCCUAUUUUACUCAUUGGGUUAUAAUCUGAUACUCUCAGUAUUUGUUUUAAUACUCAGAUUGUCCUAGAUUUAACCAAUGGAAGCCUGUUCUGGUCGCCUCCUAUGUCCUUCUGAUAUCUCCCCAUCAUUUUUUCAGCAUUUACUUACUCAAAACAAGAUGUUCCAAGAUUAUUCUGUACUUUCCCUGCCCUAAUCUUGGAAUCCGUCGUGGAAUCCUAAUGCCUUAGCACUUGGUGCUCAUCUUACUGAGAAGGUACGGAGAAGAGGACAGAAAGCCUGCCUCCCUGAGAGCUAGAGAGGAGCAGCUAGCCGGCAGGGGGCCAGGAGCGUGCACUCCUCCGCCCAGCCAGCAGCAACUGAGGCAGAAUUCCAGCACCAUCGGCCAUACGCACUGAUGAUGCCAGGCCUGCAGCCUGCCUCCUGGAAGCCACCCCAUCACCGGGAUGCGCAGAUGACUGGACCCAUGGUACAGGUCAGCGACGCAGCACACCUGGCAGGCACACAUACAAUUAAAUAGCAUGUUUAAUCAUCUCACAACAGACAGUAGUGCAGUAGUGUAAACUAAGUCUCUUUCCAAAAAGUCACUCCCCCGAAGCUCCCGUUCCUCAACACUCAGAACAUGGCUGAGGAACCGGUGACAGGGCCCGAGGGGUUCAGGAAGUCUCUGUUCCAAGGAGCUAAAAGUCUGUCCAGGUCAAGGUUGCCUUGCAGGUAGCCGAGAGCCCUAUGAGGAGCUGAUGCACGCACAUUCUGACACACACAUGCAAGGGACACAUGGAGAAGACGUAGGUGGACACAGAGGACCCGCGGUGGGGCAGUCACACACAUGCGCUCAUGCCGUCACCUUCCAGUCAGCAUGUGACUGUCUCCUGCUGGCUCAGGGUGGGGGGGGCCUGAGCCCUGAAGCGCUGGUCAGGAGGAGGAAGGGACACGUCUGUGGCCCGCCCCCUGUCU